rnacentral:rRNA from 1 species
GACGAACGCUGGCGGCGUGCUUAACACAUGCAAGUCGAACGGAAAGGCCCUGCUUUUGUGGGGUGCUCGAGUGGCGAACGGGUGAGUAACACGUGAGUAACCUGCCCUCGACUUUGGGAUAACUUCAGGAAACUGGGGCUAAUACCGGAUAGGAGCUCCUGCUGCAUGGUGGGGGUUGGAAAGUUUCGGCGGUUGGGGAUGGACUCGCGGCUUAUCAGCUUGUUGGUGGGGUAGUGGCUUACCAAGGCUUUGACGGGUAGCCGGCCUGAGAGGGUGACCGGCCACAUUGGGACUGAGAUACGGCCCAGACUCCUACGGGAGGCAGCAGUGGGGAAUAUUGCACAAUGGGCGGAAGCCUGAUGCAGCAACGCCGCGUGCGGGAUGACGGCCUUCUGGUUGUAAACCGCUUUCGCCUGUGACGAAGCGUGAGUGACGGUAAUGGGUAAAGAAGCACCGGCUAACUACGUG